GCUAGAAUGGCAUAGUGGUUUGAGUGUUGGGAUUAUAACUCUCAAGACCAGGGUUUGAUUCCCAGCUUGGCCA